CUUAACAACUGUGUACUUCUAAACUAUGAAAUUGUAGUAGCAAAAAAAAAGUUAUUCAUGUAUCAACACUUGGGGCAUGUGAAAUAUCCCAGGUUCAGUUCUUGGAUUUUCUAGGUAGGUCUUCUGUCUGAAACCCAGGUGGACCAAUGCAGUAGUAGACUAGACAGACGAGGCAGUUUGCUAUAUUCCUGCUGUUGAAUGUUCCUGUUAAACCUUUGAACAAAUGGUUAUUCGUGGUUGUUAAAAAAAAUGGCUUGAACUACACAGAGUCCAUCUUUACUGCAAAAACUAUUAAAUUGUGUAGUUCUAAGCUGGGCAUUUUUAGUGCUGCCAGGUGAAGUCAGGAAAUGCUCUAUUUACUUUCUAUUGACUAGCUGCAUUCAGGCAAGACUGCCAGUGCGUUGACAUGGAAAGCAACAGAGACAGAACCAUUUCAAACCACUGACAUUAUACUGCUUUAUUUGCAAAGUGAAUUGCUCCUGAAUGCACCAGUUACUUUUUUAUGGAGUAUUUGCGUGUUGACAAAGCUUUAAAAGAAAAGGGAAUAAUGUAAUUCAGGCUAUCUUAAUAAAGCUGUCAUUUAAAAAAAAAUCUAUUUCACUUUGUUUUCUUUCACUUGUUUGUUUAGAAAAAACGGAACAAUUUCUAAGGUCAAUAAUAUACAUUAAAGAAAUAAAAGCACUUAGCAAUUUGCAAUUUCAUCUGUAUGUGUUUCUGAGGCAUUGUGAAAAGAAAAUUGUGUGUGUGUGAAAGAGAUUUUGUUUCUUUUGGAGAAUGUUUUCAUUUCUUGAAACAACAUCACCAUUCAAUCAGAGUAUUGAUUUUAAACUCAUUAUGUUAGGUAGCUAACAUUAAGGGAAUAUGCAUUGGAAGUUAAGUGACAUAUAAAGACAUUGUCAUGCAAAUUACUGUUUCCAUGUAAAAUGACUGGUAAUUAGAAAGCUCACACUCACUGAAGCUUAGGCGAUAUCAUGAUUCAAACUACAGGAACCUGUGACUCAUUAUUAUUGCAAUUAUUUUUGGUAGAAUAUAAUGCCUGAUUCAACAAUAUGAUGUUGUCUUGAGUACUUUAGACAUCAAUGAAACCUCUUCCAUUAACCUUCCUUCUAUAUUGUCCCCCUCCUUCAUGAUAAUAUGGAUGUGUUUUGAAUCCUAAAAGUAUAAUGUCAAUGCAUUAAUAUAUAAAAUAAUAGUUACAGAUAAGGCUGGAGCUGUGCAGUCAAUUAAAAUACUUCAAUGAGAACAGACAAUGCUUGUUGGGGUAGGGAAAAUACUUUAUUGCACUUCUAAAAGGUUGCACACUCCAUCACAUUCAUUCUGCAGACAGUGUAUAGAAUGAAUUCUUCCCAUAUACCAUCCUCCUCAUCAUAAUCAUGUUCCCCACCCACCACCAGCCAAACAACUUCAAAGGGGAGAACAGGACACUGUUCCUUUUAGAGCAUGUCAGCAAUAAAGUUCUUCACCUUACAAAAAUAUGAUACCGCGCAUGUUUAUAGGAGAUGGCUAGCAAGUUCUAGGACCAAAAUAAGAAAUCCACUGAAAUUGUAGAAAGAGAUGUAACACAUAAACAUAGUUAAUCUGAUGUAUUUACCCCAUUCCAUAAUAGUUUACAAUGAUAAUAGCAUCAGAGGUAGAAAAAAGGAAAAUGUCCCUGGGAAGUCAGUACGCAUCUUUCAAUAUGUAUCACAGAGGUGGCGUUAGAGCAUGACUCCUAGACUUUAAUACGCUUAGAUAGGACGUUAAAUGGUCCCUUUGAACUCCUGAGAAAUUAUGUAAUUAUCUGAAAUAUGUAUCUGUUCUAUUUUAUAGUUUUUCCCCACCCCCUGCUUGUGCCAUUCUCUUACUUCAUACUGGAAGAAAGGGGGAGAGUCCUCACUGGCUGACUGGUUAUCUGGCUGUGGAAUUCUCUACUGAAAAGAGCGCGGCCCUUCUGUUAACACAAUACUUUUAUCCAGUAAUCACAGCCUGCAGGAGACAAAAUAACAAUUCAUCUGGAAAAUGAGAUUAACUCAUUUAAGUUAGGCAGUGAUCACAGAGAGAAACCCAUUGGUGUUAUCUGCUUGAACGAAAGCAUACAGGUUUGAGGGCCAUUCCGGUUCAGGGGGUCUGUGUUGUAGGCCCAGCUUGUUGAAAGUAAUUGGGUCCUGUCAGAGCAUGUCUUUGUGAGAUAUGGAUAUUACAAUGGAAUUCUAUUAAUCUCUGACAAAUCCCCUCUCAUCUGAUAGAGGCUGUUUGUCCCGUUUCUUCAACCACAACACCUUCCAAGCCAUCUUUGUACAUGUACUGCGAAGUGUAGGUGUGUGGGUAGGUGUCAUUAAGCGUGUAUGUUUAUAUCCCAGCUGAAAAUCACUACAUCACCUUUUUAACAUUUUCUCUUUGGAAAUUGUAUGAGCACAUACAAUUUCAUUUUGAUUGCUCUUAGUUGAAGUGAUUUGUUGUGUAUUUAAAGUGUUUUGUUUUACAAAACCCAUGAACAUGAAUUCUCCUUUCCCAGUACAUUGCAGUAAAUAUUUACACAGACAAAUUAAGUAAAAAUGAACAAGUAUAAUUUAAUACACUAAAGGGUUUGUUUUUUUUUCUUUCUCUCCCCUCCAGGGGGUUAUGGACCACAUAAUUUUGUAUCUAUAUCCCAGCUUACAUGCUCUAGAUAAGAUAUAUAGUUGUGACUAUUUCUCUGAUAUAAGAUAACAUGUAACUAUUGAAAGAACAAACAUUUUCAGCAUUGAUCCUUUGUGGACUUGUGCAAGCAGAACCUUGAUGGAGUUAAUAGAUUUUGCAGAGAGAUGAAGGGAAGCUUAGGAUCCUGGGGUUUCUGGUGCAGCUACCGAAUGCAAAAGCAAGCAAGCAAACAAAAGGCAUGUGUAGUGUGUCAGAUACAAAGAGAGCACUUAUGUAGAAAUGUAUGUGACAUCCUUUACUAUUUAACAAAAAAUCAUCUAUCCUGUUGAUGCCCACUGCUGAGUGUACAUUAAAGAAACUUCAGCAAUCUGUAUUUGUAAAAUAUGCAUCUAGGCUAUGUAUACAUUACUGCAUUGAAAUGAAGCGAGGUUUCUCCCUCCUCAUGCACAUUUCAAGUCACCUUUUCAUUGAGGCUUAAUCCCAGGUAAGUGUGUAUAGGAUUGUAGCCUAAGGCUACACACACAGUAUGCACAUUUGCUUGGGAACAAGGCCUACUGAACAGAGUGAGACUUACCUCUGAGAAGAACUGCUGCAGGUCAGAGUGUACAGUACUUGGCUACAUAGGCAAAAGCCUGACCUGAUAUAAGGCAACUUUCUGUGUUGCUAUACCUUCUUGCAAUAAUAUGCCAAUCAGUCCCAGACUUGGGGAAGCCCUUGGGAAGAUGCUGUCAAUGAUCUCCCAUUCCUGAGCACAUUCAAACACACACCCCCCGGGCACUUCUCACUUGCUUCUUUCCCUCUCUCUGGACCACUUCCUAGAUGGAGAGAAGAAGAUGUAUGGAUGACCCUUGUAUUCUCCACAGUUGUAUUCUCCAAUUUCAAGGUUUGGUAGCGAGUCUGGUGUGAGAACUUCC
rnacentral:lncRNA from 1 species